GACGAACGCUGGCGGCGUGCUUAACACAUGCAAGUCGAACGGAAAGGCCCUGCUUUUGUGGGGUGCUCGAGUGGCGAACGGGUGAGUAACACGUGAGUAACCUGCCCUUGACUUUGGGAUAACUUCAGGAAACUGGGGCUAAUACCGGAUAGGAGCUCCUGCUGCAUGGUGGGGGUUGGAAAGUUUCGGCGGUUGGGGAUGGACUCGCGGCUUAUCAGCUUGUUGGUGGGGUAGUGGCUUACCAAGGCUUUGACGGGUAGCCGGCCUGAGAGGGUGACCGGCCACAUUGGGACUGAGAUACGGCCCAGACUCCUACGGGAGGCAGCAGUGGGGAAUAUUGCACAAUGGGCGGAAGCCUGAGGCAGCAACGCCGCGUGCGGGAGGACGGCCUUCGGGUUGUAAACCGCUUUCGCCUGUGACGAAGCGUGAGUGACGGUAAUGGGUAAAGAAGCACCGGCGAACUACGU
rnacentral:rRNA from 1 species